UAGGGAAUCUUCGGCAAUGGACGAAAGUCUGACCGAGCAACGCCGCGUGAGUGAAGAAGGUUUUCGGAUCGUAAAACUCUGUUGUUAGAGAAGAACAAGGACGUUAGUAACUGAACGUCCCCUGACGGUAUCUAACCAGAAAGCCACGGCUAACUACGUGCCAGCAGCCGCGGUAAUACGUAGGUGGCAAGCGUUGUCCGGAUUUAUUGGGCGUAAAGCGAGCGCAGGCGGUUUCUUAAGUCUGAUGUGAAAGCCCCCGGCUCAACCGGGGAGGGUCAUUGGAAACUGGGAGACUUGGGUGCAGAAGAGGAGAGUGGAAUUCCAUGUGUAGCGGUGAAAUGCGUAGAUAUAUGAAGGAACACCAGUGGCGAAGGCGGCUCUCUGGUCUGUAACUAACGCUGAGGCUCGAAAGCGUGGGGAGCAAACAGG
rnacentral:rRNA from 1 species